AACAAACGCUGGCGGCGUGCCUAACACAUGCAAGUCGUACGAGAAAGGGUCCUUCGGGGUCAGAGUAAAGUGGCGCACGGGUGAGUAACGCGUGGAUAAUCUGCCCUUCAGUUGGGAAUAACUCAUCGAAAGGUGGGCUAAUACCGAAUAAUGCUGUGAGACCUCGGUUGAUCAGCCAAAGAGAGCCUCUGCUUGCAAGCCCUCGCUGAAGGAUGAGUCCGCGUACCAUUAGCUAGUUGGUAGGGUAAUGGCCUACCAAGGCGACGAUGGUUAGCUGGUCUGAGAGGAUGAUCAGCCACACUGGAACUGAGACACGGUCCAGACUCCUACGGGAGGCAGCAGUGAGGAAUCUUGCGCAAUGGGGGCAACCCUGACGCAGCAACGCCGCGUGAGUGAGGAAGGUCUUCGGAUCGUAAAGCUCUGUCGGAUGGAAAGAACCGCAUAGGGGUAAACAGCCCCUGUGUCUGACGGUACCAUCAAAGGAAGCACCGGCUAACUCCGUGCCAGCCGCCGCCGUAAAAC
rnacentral:rRNA from 1 species